GACAAGGUUUCACCGUGUUAGCCAGGAUGGUCUGGAUCUCCUGACCUCGUGAUCCGCCCGUCUUGGCCUCCCAAAGUGCUGGGAUUGCAGGCUUGAGCCACCGCGCCCGGCCAAUGCUACUUCUUAAAACGUCUGCAUCAUUGACAGUAUCUCCUUUAUGCCCUGGAAUGCAUGAAGCUCUGCCCAGAAGGACCCUGUGUUAGACCAGCUGAACGAACCCUGCCAUGUUGGUACAAGACCUCCAGAACGCUCACUGCCUUGGAGUCAUCGAAAGCUUUGUGCUGAUGAACAUGGCCACCUUGAAAGAUGUGUUGAAUAUGGCAGAGCCAGAAAAUGCAAGGAGUCUUCUUCUCUGGAUCACCACUUGAAGAAGAGCCACUUGCUGCUCACAAACCCUACUUUGGACUGAGAAAUCAAGCUGGAGAUGAAGAGAGAAGGAUGGAAUGAUCUCCGAAGCCUCUUCCAGCUUUUUCAAGAUUCCAUGUUGCAUAUUCUCCAAGAUUGGAAGGGUGCUGGCUCAUUAAAUUUGACAAAUAUAAGGCCUAGUCUUGGCUUCACUCAACUAAUUGGUACUUUUUUUUUUUC